AAAAAUCUGGCUGAAUUUCGGCUACCACACUACUAUUCGAAGCCAUUUCUCUACCUAGGCACUUUUUUCUUUGAGAUAAAAAUGCUAGUUCGAUGGCCGUGUACCAAAGAAAUUACAGUGGCAUUUUAUCUCAAAGAAAAAUUUGCCAGAGUCGGCUGCCUCGUUGCGGACCCGAACUGAUGGUAUUCCUUAAUCCCUUUUCCUUUUUUAAAAAUUAUUUUUAUCUUAUAUUUUGUUCUUGCUUUGUGUUUUAGUUUUAGCGUCGAAUUGAAAUGAUGUCUCAUUUUCUUUUGUUUGGUUGUAAUUCGUUUCUGUCAAAAGGUGCUUGCUUAUCCUACUUAAAGGGUCUCCUUUCUCUCAUUUGAGGGGGAGGGAGAUGACUCUGAAGAUAAGAUUUUACACACUAAAAACCCAACUUUGAAAGUAAAAAUCAUCAGCUAAACGUAUCCAACAGUAAGAUGAAAAUCAAGAAAGUAAGCUGAAAUUUAAGUGUCUUUGUGUGAGAUUUUAUAAAAAAAAGCAAACCUUUCAAGAAACUAAAGUUAUUAGAUAGUCCUCAGAUUCUUUCUUCUUUGAAUUUAUCGGGUCUUAAGGUGCUUCUGGAUCAUUUCAUUGGGUUAAAAUAUGCCUACUGAUUUGUUGCUAUUAGUGGGAGACUGUUUAAACCAAACGUUCUUCACUGUUGGUUAACUUCUGCAUCUAGGUACUCUUCUAGUUCUCUUUCUUAAUGCAAUUUUAUUCAGCUGAAAUAAAGUUAUGAAUGUUUCAGUUAUAUUUUGAAACUGCCUCAUCACAUUUGUCGGAUGUUUUGCUCAUAAGUUUAUGAAUAAAGUGCUUAACUUCACGAAUCAGACGAAUGCACUGUGUCAUAGAAAAUUUUCCUCAAGUCACUAAGGCUAAGCUUCAUUUAUAUUUAUUUCCUUUCUCCCAUGUAGUAUUUUUAGUCGGUUUCUGUAGUUGGGUGUUCUCUUACUCGUCUUUCAUUUUCUAUAAUUUAGGUGUUUUAGAUAUUUUAGUGUAUUAGUUUAUUUGUUUUAUUUUAAAUUGGAUUCUUUAUUAAAACCAUGACUCAUUUUUCUUGGUUCUUCGUGAUUAUUUUUGGCCCGUUUCCUUUUAAGCUGGCCGAAGCCAUUAUAAUCCAAUAAUCAAAGCUGGCCCUUUUUUUUAAAAAUAUAAGUAUCUCAUGAAUUAAUUCCAAUAAAUUAUAUUUUCUUUUAAUAGUUAUGUAACUUAGUCACCUUAAAAAUUAUUUUAAACGUUAAACAAUUAGUAGGUAUGAUUUAACAUUUUUAAUUCACGGACUCGCUUGCGUAACGUGAUGUUUGAUGCUUAAUAAAUUAAUUCAAUAAUCUCAUGCCAUACCCAUUUAGUUUCAAUUAAUUUUUAAUUUAGUCGAUCCUUUGUUAAAAUCACAUAUUCACUUGCGUGGUGCGAGAGCUAACUUUUUUUAAUAAUCUUUAAGAAUUAAUUUUUUCAAAUGUAGUAAUUUCUCAUAAGUACUACAAAUAAUUGAUUGUCAUGAUUUCAGAUUCGCUUGUGAGGCGCGAUUAUAAUAAGUUAAUUAAUUUUAUUCCAAUCACGCAUUCGCUUGCGUAGCGUGAUUAUGGCAACGUAAUAUUACCCAAAUCAUCCUUCAAUAAUUUUAAUAAUCAAGAAAUAAAGGCAGACAAAUAAAAAUAUAGAAACCAAUAAAAUAUAGUUCAUUUAGAAUUAAUUCAAGCCAAUUUUAGUCAACAAAAGCGAUCGUGCUAGAACCACAAAACUUGUGGAAUGCCUUACACCCUCUUUCUGGUCAACAAAGUUUCUUGCCCGAACUUUAUUUUUGCAGACCAAUAAUAAUAGAGUCAAAUCUUCCUUUGACUAGAAAUUCAAACAAAAGGUGAUUUGAAACACCCAAAAUAUCAAUCCCAAGUGAUGAUUCUAAACAACAGAAUAAUUCAUACUCAAAUUUAUCACUUCAAUUGAAAAAACUCUAUUAACCCCCUAUCCAUAACUCACAUAUAAUUCUUUUGAGGUAGAAAAAGGAAUAUGACAGUACGGUUUAGUUAAUUUUUCUUCCUGUUAUCCAUUGUUGUUGUAUCGGAAAGUCAGAAAUCAAACUACUUACGAUUAACAAUUUUAAGUUACUGUUUUCAUUUAUUGGUGACAGGUACACAUGCUGGAAGUUUCAAGAAUAAUUACUACUCAGGUAAAAUAAAAAAAAGGUUAAUUUCAUCUUGAAUUUUAAAAUAAUUAUUUUAAAAAUUACGAUAAAUAAUUUAAGACUGAGGAAGUAUAAACUUUAAGGGGGUCAAUUGUCCCUAUAGGAAGUUUUCUUUAAAAUAAACAUUAGAAAAUAUGUUUCUUUGUUAUUAUAAUAAAGAUCCCCAAAAGAUUUGCAUUGAAUUACAUACAAAGAAAUUAAUUCAAAGGUCAUCAACACCAAAAAUAGACUCAUGACUAAUUCUCUUAAUUUUAAAUAUUUGUUACUCUUUCAAUUUUAUUUGUUGCCUUUGAUAAUUAAGCAAUUAAACAUGGACAAUUCAUAAUACAAAAUCUGAUCUGCCGUCUUAUUAAAGCAUGUAAUUGAAUUCGCAUUAUUAACAAAUCCAGUAGAUUUCAAUAACAUAAUAUAACAUUAAAUUUAUUUCUUACAUAAUACACUCUAUCAAUACUAUAAAAUGACCCUCAAUUUAGUUCUUCACCACAAACACAAAGUUCUCUAUAUACACAAAAGAGAAAAUCAUGUCCACCACAUAUUUCUUUCUUCUAUUCAUUGCUCUAGUGGUUUUAGCCACACCCUCAUUUGCUCAAUCAAAAUUUACCAUAUUAGAUGAACAAGAUGAGGAAAAUUUGCUAAAUCGUCCUAGUAUUUUUGUUUCUACAGAGCAGGUAGGAGCACCAGCACCAGAAUUGUCACAUUCACAUGCGCCAUGUCCAGAAGAAGAGUUAAAGUAUAAGCACGAGCACGAGCACAAGCACAAGCAUAAGCAUCGCAAGUUAUCACCAUCUCCUGCUGAAGCACCAGAAGAAUACAAAUAUGAACAGUUCAGCACCAAAGAGCGACUCCGAACCAUCUUUUUUGGCUAAUUGUCUUGAGUGGAAAUGUUUUCUUUGAAAUUGUUUGCUAUGAAAAUCUUAAACUAUCUUGGGUGAAAUGUAAUGAUUUCUCUACAUUGAGAAUAUGUUAAUUGUUAUUGCAUCAAAAGUUCAUGAUAUGUGAUUUGUACCAAUGUUGACG
rnacentral:lncRNA from 1 species